rnacentral:pre_miRNA from 1 species
CAAGUACUCCCUCCGUCCGGAAUUACUUGUCAUCAAAAUGGAUGUGUCUAGAACUACAAUACAUCUAGAUACAUCCAUUUCAAUGACAAGUAUUUUCGGACAGAGGGAGUACAAG